GAACGCACAUUGCGCCCGCCAGUAUUCUGGCGGGCAUGCCUGUUCGAGCGUCAUUUCAACCAUCAAGCCCCCGGCUUGUGUUGGGGACCUGCGGCUGCCGCAGGCCCUGAAAACCAGUGGCGGGCUCGCUAGUCACUCCGAGCGUAGUAGUUACAUCUCGCUCUGGGAGUGCUGCGGGUUCCGGCCGUUAAAAGCCUUAUUUACCCAAGGUUGACCUCGGAUCAGGUAGGAAGACCCGCUGAACUUA
rnacentral:misc_RNA from 1 species